GCUCAGAACGAACGUUAGCGGCGCGCCUAACACAUGCAAGUCGAGCGAGAAAGGGCUUCGGCCCCGGUACAGCGGCGCACGGGUGAGUAACACGUAGGUAAUCUACCCCUGAAUGGUGGAUAACCCUCCGAAAGGAGGGCUAAUACAGCAUAAGACCACGGCUUCUUCGGAAGCUGAGGCCAAAGCGGGCCAAUUCACGAAAGCUCGCGUUUGGGGAUGAGCCUGCGGCCCAUCAGCUAGUUGGCGGUGUAACGGACCACCAAGGCUAAGACGGGUAGCUGGUCUGAGAGGAUGAACAGCCACACUGGAACUGAGACACGGUCCAGACUCCUACGGGAGGCAGCAGUGGGGAAUCUUGCGCAAUGGGCGAAAGCCUGACGCAGCGACGCCGCGUGAGUGAUGAAGGCCUUCGGGUUGUAAAGCUCUGUGGGGAGAGACGAAUAAGUUCCGGCUAAUACCCGGAGCGAUGACGGUAUCUCCUUAGCAAGCACCGGCUAACUCUGUGCCAGCAGCCGCGGUAAGACAGAGGGUGCAAACGUUGUUCGGAAUUACUGGGCGUAAAGCGCGUGUAGGCGGCACGGCAUGUCGGAUGUGAAAUCCCAUGGCUCAACCAUGGAAGUGCACCCGAAACUGCCGAGCUGGAGUCUCGGAGAGGAAGGCGGAAUGCUUGGUGUAGAGGUGAAAUUCGUAGAUAUCAAGCGGAACACCGGUGGCGAAGGCGGCCUUCUGGACGAUGACUGACGCUGAGACGCGAAAGCGUGGGGAGCAAACAGGAUUAGAUACCCUGGUAGUCCACGCUGUAAACGAUGAGUGCUAGGUGUCACGGGCUUUGACCCCUGUGGUGCCGUAGCUAACGCAGUAAGCACUCCGCCUGGGGAGUACGGCCGGCAGGCUAAAACU
rnacentral:rRNA from 1 species